rnacentral:tRNA from 1 species
UGGAUCACCUCCUAACAGGGAGACAAUACCUGAUCGUGAUGUCUGAGUACUUUAUUCCUCAGGCCCAUGAUCCUGUCAUCUCGAAGGUCGAUCGGUACCCUCAACGUGAGCGGAAGGGAGAGUCUGAGUAAUCAGGCUGGAGACUUUCCAAUUCCACUUUCAGUUCCUAAACUUUGUCUAGGUCACCCCACAGUGGGUAAAGCCGACCUUGGUGGCACCCCAUCAAGCGUCAUUCUGAUCCAUCUCAAGGCUAAGCCGAAAGGCGAGGUUGAGAGAACCAUCAGAAGUGGCACCAACUCCUGGGCCAUUAGCUCAGGUGGUUAGAGCGCACCCCUGAUAAGGGUGAGGUCCCUGGUUCAAGUCCAGGAUGGCCCAUUCGUGUUUGGGGGUUUAGCUCAGUUGGUAGAGCGCCUGCUUUGCAAGCAGGAUGUCAGCGGUUCGAGUCCGCUAACCUCCAUCAACGUGAGCAGCAAAGCUGCUGAACACAACUGCGGAGUUGGUUGUGUUGUGAUCUAGAUGUUGACGCUGAGAAUCGACUCCAGCCUCAUCUCAUCCAUCGAUCAAAACCUUGCGAAUCAGCGAGGAUAACAAUUGAUGAGUUGACAUGAUGCUGGACUCAGCCGGAAGCCUGCAAGGGCUUGUGGUUUGACUGUUCAGCAGAACCUUGACAACUGCAUAGGAAUAAGUCUGGAAAGAAUAGCAUCUCAUAGAUGCUGAUCUGUAAAGAUCAGGAUAUCUAUUUCGAGAGCCGAGACCUUCCAGUUUUCUUGAGCCACCGCCGAGGUGGAUCGAGUUUGAUCCUGUUUUCUGCCGCUGCUCUGGUUUCCAGGGGAGUGGGUGGAAAGCUGAGAGAAUAGGCCUCAACAGCCUGAAGGAUUGGAAGUGUAAUUGGUCAAGCUACAAAGGGCUCACGGUGGAUACCUUGGCACACAGAGGCGAUGAAGG